UAACUGGAUUGUGGCAGCCAAGCGUUCAUAGCGACGUUGCUUUUGAUCCUUCGAUGUCGGCUCUUUCUAUCAUACUGAAGCAGAAGUCAGUAGGUGUUAUUCGCUCACUGAUAACAAAAGAUCAAGGGAUAGGAG
rnacentral:ncRNA from 1 species